GAUGAACGCUGGCGGCGUGCCUAAUACAUGCAAGUCGAGCGAACAGAUGAGGAGCUUGCUCCCCUGACGUUAGCGGCGGACGGGUGAGUAACACGUGGAUAACCUACCUAUAAGACUGGGAUAACUUCGGGAAACCGGAGCUAAUACCGGAUAAUAUAUUGAACCGCAUGGUUCAAUAGUGAAAGACGGUUUUGCUGUCACUUAUAGAUGGAUCCGCGCCGCAUUAGCUAGUUGGUAAGGUAACGGCUUACCAAGGCAACGAUGCGUAGCCGACCUGAGAGGGUGAUCGGCCACACUGGAACUGAGACACGGUCCAGACUCCUACGGGAGGCAGCAGUAGGGAAUCUUCCGCAAUGGGCGAAAGCCUGACGGAGCAACGCCGCGUGAGUGAUGAAGGUCUUCGGAUCGUAAAACUCUGUUAUUAGGGAAGAACAAAUGUGUAAGUAACUAUGCACGUCUUGACGGGACCUAAUCAGAAAGCCACGGCUAACUACGU
rnacentral:rRNA from 1 species